rnacentral:sRNA from 20 species
GUCAGCACCCCGCUCUAAAGAGACGGGGCUAUGCGCGGAGCGCAGGCUUCGCCAACAUGCCUCUAACUUUGGAUAGCUGACCAGCUAUAGUCUUAAUUGACUACGUUAUCGGCAAGUGUUAAAGACCCACCAAUGGAUGCGAAGCUAGUCCGUUGCUCUGGA